rnacentral:rRNA from 1 species
UACGCAGGGGGCUAGCGUUGUUCGGAAUUACUGGGCGUAAAGCGCACGUAGGCGGCUUCUUAAGGCUGGGGUGAAAGCCCGGAGCUCAACUCCGGAACUGCCUUGGAUACUGGGAGUCUCGAGGAUGGAAGAGGUCAGUUGAAAGCCGAGUGUAGAGGUGAAAUUCGUAGAUAUUCGGCGGAACACCAGUGGCGAAGGCGGCUGGCUGGUCCAUUUCUGACGCUGAGGUGCUAAAGUUUGGGGAGCAAACAGG